UACGUAGGAUCCAAGCGUUAUCCGGAUUUACUGGGCGUAAAGAGUUGCGUAGGUGGCAGAGUAAGUUAGUAGUGAAAUCGUGUGGCUCAACCAUGCUCACAUUACUAAAACUGCUCAGCUUGAGGAUGAGAGAGGUUAUUGGAAUUCCUUGUGUAGGAGUGAAAUCCGUAGAUAUAAGGAGGAACACCGAUGGCGUAGGCAGAUAACUGGCUCAUUCCUGACACUAAGGCACGAAAGCGUGGGUAGCAAACGGG
rnacentral:misc_RNA from 1 species